rnacentral:rRNA from 1 species
GACGAACGCUGGCGGCGUGCUUAACACAUGCAAGUCGAACGGAAAGGCCCUGCUUUUGUGGGGUGCUCGAGUGGCGAACGGGUGAGUAACACGUGAGUAACCUGCCCUUGACUUUGGGAUAACUUCAGGAAACUGGGGCUAAUACCGGAUAGGAGCUCCUGCUGCAUGGUGGGGGUUGGAAAGUUUCGGCGGUUGGGGAUGGACUCGCGGCUUAUCAGCUGGUUGGUGGGGUAGUGGCUUACCAAGGCUUUGACGGGUAGCCGGCCUGAGAGGGUGACCGGCCACAUUGGGACUGAGAUACGGCCCAGACGCCUACGGGAGGCAGCAGUGGGGAAUAUUGCACAAUGGGCGGAAGCAUGAUGCAGCAACGCCGCGUGCGGGAUGACGGCCUUCGGGUUGUAAACCGCUUUCGCCUGUGACGAAGCGUGAGUGACGGUAAUGGGUAAAGAAGCACCGGCUAACUACGU